CGCGUAGGCGGGCUGUCAAGUCUGGGGUGAAAUCCCGCGGCUCAACCGUGGAACUGCCUUAGAUACUGACGGCCUAGAGGGAGGUAGGGGCGAGCGGAACUGUGAGUGGAGCGGUGAAAUGCGUUGAUAUUCACAGGAACUCCGGUGGCGAAGGCGGCUCGCUGGCCCUCUUCUGACGCUGAGGCGCGAAAGCUAGGGGAGCAAACGGGAUUAGAUACCCCGGUAGUCCUAGCCCUAAACGUUGAGUACUGGGUAGUAGACUAGACAUGGGUUUACUGCCGAAGCAAAAGUGCUAAGUACUCCGCCUGGGGAGUAUGGUCGCAAGGCUGAA
rnacentral:rRNA from 1 species